AAUCAACGCUGGCGGCGUGCCUCAGACAUGCAAGUCGAACGCGAAAGUCCCCUUCGGGGGACAAGUAGAGUGGCGCACGGGUGAGUAACACGUAGGUAAUCUACCUUUGGAUGGGGAAUAACAACCGGGAAACGGUUGCUAAUACCGCAUAAUGCAGCGGCACCUAAUGGUGACAGUUGUUAAAGCGGGGGAUCGAAAGACCUCGCGUCUAAAGAGGAGCCUGCGGCGGAUUAGCUAGNGGUAAGGUAAUGGCUUACCAAGGCUACGAUCCGUAACCGGCCUGAGAGGGCGGUCGGUCGACACUGACACUGACAUACGGGUCA
rnacentral:rRNA from 1 species